rnacentral:rRNA from 1 species
AACGAACGCUGGCGGCGUGGAUAAGACAUGCAAGUCGAACGGGAUUAUUUUUGUAGCAAUACAGAAAUAAUUCAGUGGCGAACGGGUGCGUAACACGUGGGCAAUCUGCCGAAAAGUGGGGGAUAGCUCGCCGAAAGGCGAAUUAAUACCGCAUGUGGUGAGGGACGACAUCUUCCUGAAUCCAAAGCCGGGGCAACCUGGCGCUUUUUGAGGAGCCCGCGGCCUAUCAGCUAGUUGGCGGGGUAACGGCCCACCAAGGCUAUGACGGGUAGCUGGUCUGAGAGGACGACCAGUCACACUGGAACUGAGACACGGUCCAGACACCUACGGGUGGCAGCAGUCGAGAAUUUUUUCUCAAUGGGGGAAACCCUGAAGGAGCGACGCCGCGUGGAGGAUGAAGGC